rnacentral:rRNA from 1 species
GACGAACGCUGGCGGCGUGCUUAGCACAUGCAAGUCGAACGGAAAGGCCUGCUUUCCCUUGUGGAUUGCGGGUACUCGAGUGGCGAACGGGUGAGUAACACGUGAGUGAUCUGCCCCCAACUUGGGUAUAAGCCUGGGAAACUGGGUCUAAUUCCCGAUAGGACUGCAGGGUGGUGCCUGUGGUGGAAAACGAUUUUCUAGUGGUUGGGGAUGAGCUCGCGGCCUAUCAGCUUGUUGGUGGGGUAAUGGCCUACCAAGGCGGCGACGGGUAGCCGGCCUGAGAGCGUGGACAGCCGCAUUGGGACUGGGAUACGGCCCAGACUCCUACGGGAGGCAGGGGUGGGGAAUAUUGGGCAGUGAGCGGAAGCCUGAUGCGGCGACGCCGCGUGGAAGAUGUCGGCCUUCUGGUUGUAAACUCCUUUCGACCGCGAGGAAGCCACCUGGUUGGAAGGGUGGUGACGGUAGUGGUAGAAGAAGCACCGGCUAACUACGUG